rnacentral:rRNA from 1 species
GAUGAACGCUGCCAGAAUGCUUACCCCAUGCAAGUCAACUUAAAUUUGGGUUUUUAACUAGGAUUGGGGUGGCCGGACGGGGUGAGUAAACGCGUAAAAGAAACUGCCUCACAGCUAGGGGACAAACAUUUAGAAAAUGAAAUGCUUAAUACCUGAUAUUAUGAUUUUAAGGCAUCUUAGAAUUAUGAAAGCUAUAAGCACUGUGAGAGAGCUUUGCGUCCCAUUAGCUAGUUGGAGAGGUAACAGCUCACCAAGGCGAUGAUGGGUAGCCGGCCUGAGAGGGUGAACGGCCACAAGGGGACUGAGACACGGCCCUUACUCCUACGGGAGGCAGCAGUGGGGAAUAUUGGACAAUGGACCGAGAGUCUGAUCCAGCAAUUCUGUGUGCACGAUGAAGUUUUUCGGAAUGUAAAGUGCUUUCAGUUGGAAGAAAUAAAGACGGUACCAAG